rnacentral:rRNA from 1 species
UACGUAGGGGGCUAGCGUUGUCCGGAUUUAUUGGGCGUAAAGAGCUCGUAGGUGGUUCGGUAAGUCGGAUGUGAAAUCUCCAGGCUCAACCUGGAGGGGUCAUUCGAUACUGCCGUGACUAGAGUUCGGUAGAGGAGUGUGGAAUUCCUGGUGGAGCGGUGAAAUGCGCAGAGAUCAGGAGGAACACCCGUAGCGAAGGCGGCUCCCUGGUCCGUUUCUGACGCUGAGACGCGAAAGCGCGGGGAGCGAACGGG